ACCAGUUUAGAGAACUCCGCUAGCAUUUUCUUUGGUCUUGUGGCUGGAGUAUUUUUUGCCAGAGCCAAAAUGCGGGAGAGAUCUCAAUCCUGAACUGUUGUAACUUGUUAGUGUUUGAUACGUCCAAGUUUUUCACUGUGUGAAAGCUGCAUCCGGCUGCCUUAAUAUCUCAUUCUUCAUUUGUGGGAAAUCAUUUUAUAGAUUCUCAUGAAGUCUUAAGAAGAUUCUGCUGGGCAUUAGGAAAACUUCCAUUCAACUUCAUCAGGCCAUCUAGAGAUGUUGUGUACCAAACCGUACCACUAAUUUUUUCACCAAUCUGUAUUUUGUUGUGUAACGCAUUCCUCUGUAUCAUCUUUGCUAGUCUUAUACAAACAAUUAUUCUGAAA